GCAUCAAAACAACAUCAACCCACAACUCUUCCAAUUGAAAAAACAAAAAAAGAUGAUUCAGUUGCCCAGAGAUAUCGUCAAAGGAAAGGAUAGAGCGUCGGGCACGCCGGCGAGAGCGGCCAAGCUGUGGUGGAGCAACUGCGGUAAUACCGCUUUCCGCCGAGUGCGGUGGUCCCACAUUGAGCAAACAAUGCCGGUUCCGGCCAGAUUAGGGUUCCGGCUGUUAUCCGGUCACCAGCUUACAUCUUGGAUGGUGGAUUGGCCGGCUCAUGGAGGUGAUUGGCUUAGCUUGGUGGUUCCUCUUGCAAAUUGAUUGUAUCAAUCUUUUUCCUUUUCAAUUGUAUCAUGGAAGACCAGCAACCUACAUCUCUAAUCUGAAUCGUUUUGCUAUAUGAAAUACACCUAAUGUUGCUCAUGGUUUUCUAUUAGGAGUCAUGUUAUGAUUUUAGUCUGUCAAAGGAUCGCAUACUCAACAGGAUAUGCAAAAAUGUCUUGAGGUAAAUAUCUUUCGAUUUUUCAUCUCAUAUGAUUGUGUUUUCAGGUUGGGUCACUUUCAAUGUUUCAACUGAGAAAGGUUAUGACACAAACAAAGUAGUUUGUUAGAUUGCAGGUGAAGAGGAAUUAUAGGUAGAAUGGUUUAUUCAUUACUGGUAAUUUGUGUAAUAAUCUGUAAUAAUCUUGAUCCUCCAUCUAUUUCACUUCAACAAAUUAUAAAGCUAUGUUUUUGUCAGUAGGGAAAUGUUAUAGCACAUUAAUAGCACCAUCUAACAAAAACUUUUUACAUUCUAAACAGAUAAGAUUUGUUAUGAAAUAUUGAAAUAUGACAUUUUUCUUCCACUUAAUGGUACCAGGUAUAACAUUUUCCCAAUAAUAGUUGGUUUUCUAAUAUUUUCUAAUGAAACAAACAAAAAACCUUUGGAAUGUUUGGACCAGAAGUUCUGAUCAAAUGGUUAAGAGCCCACUUCGAGGUGACAAACCUUCCCACCGAUGUGCAGGUCUUUAAUUUCGGAUCUUACACAUGUAUUUUGAAUUGCACGUCGCUUUUUGAUAACUGUUAAUGAACUUAUGAACCCUACAUGUGGACAUUUGAAGCAGCUAUUUAGUGAUGUGGGGCCUCCUCUUAGUGGCAAAGCUUGAGAUUUCUGACCCGGGGGGCGGAAGUCAUCGGACCUAAAAAUUUCUAUAAAACUGGGGGUUGAAAACGUAUAUAAAAAAAUUUUCUAUACGAAAACUACAUACUCUCCACUACUGAGGGAAAAGUUCGGGGGGUCGGCCGCCCCCUCCCACCCCUUAAAAGCUUCACCCAUGCCUCCUCUUAAGAAGAUGUGGAUCGAAUUUGCUUCAUUUGAUUCAACAAAGGUGGACGUUCUUAAUUGAAGAUUUUUGAAUAGCUACAUUGUUUUGUAGGUUGAAAGGGUGGCAAUAAUUAGCUAUAUUUUGUAUCACCACAAAGUCAUCCCCUCACUACCCUUUGCAAGGCAUGGUUUGAAAUAGAUUUCCACAUUUGGGUUUGCUUGGCUUUUGUUUCUCAUGUUGUUUCUUUAGUUUGACCUUAGAUUAAAGUCUCUGACAAAGUGAAAGGCGUGGAUGGGAAGGAUCACGUGGUGGUGGCUUUAUGACGGGAAGUAUCUGCCACACAAUGAACAUGUAAAUCAUUUUGCUAACAUCACCAGAUUAUUCUUGAUAUUAGGAUAUAUACACAUUGCCUGAUUACCUAAAAAUUAGGGGUUGCAAGAUGAGUGGGUUGGGUAACGGGUUAUAUUUGUAUGGUCCAACUGAACCAGCAAACACUUUCUAGAUCUUUUUUUAUAAUUAUCUUGUCCUCAUGUUUGUAUUAUGGACUGUAGUGGCUGCCAUUUGAAGGUGAACUAGAAGUUUAUAUGUGCAAUUAUUUAAGUUUUAAUUGUUAUUAGCUUCUUGAUGACAUAGUAUAUGGGAAUAGGGAUUCUUUUUGCCACGUGGCAGUUCGUUAUUGGUGGCCUUUCCCCCUUUAUCCGAACUUGGUAUUGUAUGUAUAUAUUGAUUUGGAUUUGGUAA